rnacentral:lncRNA from 1 species
GCCUUAUGAUCUGUAAUAUUUGUAUCUAGAACAGCUGCUUUGCAAUCGUUUAUUGGAUCUUUGGAUUUAAAUUUUACAAAUACGUGAUCCAGACAGUUAUUUAGUCUUGUUGGUUUAUUUAUUAAAGAAUUAAAGUUGUAUUCUGAGAGUAUUUAAGUAAUCGUUAGUAUUAUCAUUAUUUUCUAAUAUGUUUAUAUUAAUAUCUCCAGCCAGAAUAUGACAGUCUGCAUGACAUGAUUUUGUUUGUUCUAGAUAUUCCUUUAAGUUUGACACGAAAUGUUCUACAUUCGUUGAAGGUGGUGGGUAAAGAGCAGUGAUUAAUAUUUUUUUGUUGUUAUUACAUGUUACCAGCAUUUGUAUUACUUUAUGUUCCCCUACUUCUAUAAUUUUUGAACAGUGGUCAAGAUAAUUUUUGAAGUAUAGCACUGUUCCAUCAUUUUUAUUAAUAUUUCUUUCUAAUAUUUUUUUUAUCAAUAUUAUAUGAAUUGAAAAUUGAAAACUUUGAAAACAAAAUGCUGAAAUUGGAAGAUAAAUUUACCAACGCCGAUUUAGUAAAAAGCAAAAUGGAAAUGAAAAUGGACCAGAUAGACCAAUCCAUGCGAGCAACUAGCCUGAGAAUAUUUGGUAUGAAAGAGAAACCUCAAGAAAAUACUUCCCAA